rnacentral:rRNA from 1 species
GGGGGAAAGAUUUAUCGCUAUUAGAUGAGCCUAUGUUAGAUUAGCUAGUUGGUAGGGUAAAGGCCUACCAAGGCGAUGAUCUAUAGCUGGUCUGAGAGGAUGAUCAGCCACACUGGAACUGAGAUACGGUCCAGACUCCUACGGGAGGCAGCAGUGGGGAAUAUUGGACAAUGGGCGCAAGCCUGAUCCAGCUAUGCCGCGUGAGUGAGGAAGGCCUUAGGGUUGUAAAACUCUUUCAGUAGGGAAGAUAAUGACGGUACCUACAGAAGAAGUCCCGGCAAACUCCGUGCCAGCAGCCGCGGUAAUACGGAGGGGGCAAGCGUUGUUCGGAAUUAUUGGGCGUAAAGGGCAUGUAGGCGGUUCGGUAA